rnacentral:rRNA from 1 species
AAAGGGGCGCAAACCGAGUGGCGUAAGGGUGAGUAAUACAUUGAUAACCUACCUUUGAGAUGGGAACAACAACGUUCCAAGUAAUUGGGGCUACCGAAAGGGUUGCUAAUUCUCAAUAAAAAUGCUGACACUUUGGUGUUGGCAGUCAAAGAAAUGGAUCUGAAAAGGUCCAUUUGCUCAGAGAGGGGUCAAUGUCCUAUCAGCUAGUUGGUAGGGUAAUGGCCUACCAAGGCGAAGACGGGUAGCCGGCCUGAGAGGGUGGUCGGCCACACUGGGACUGAGACACUGCCCAGACUCCUACGGGAGGCUGCAGUCGAGAAUCUUUCGCAAUGCCCGAAAGGGUGACGAAGCGACGCCGCGUGUGGGAUGAAGGCCCUCGGGUUGUAAACCACUGUCGGGAGUUAAGAAUUGUAGGAAUGCUAAUAGUAUUUCUACUUGACUAAGGCUCCGGAGGAAGCCACGGCUAACUCUGUGCCAGCAGCCGCGGUAAUACAGAGGCGGCAAGCGUUGUUCGGAAUUAUUGGGCGUAAAGAGCAUGUAGGCGGCUAUGUAAGUCGGUUGUGAAAGCCUUCCGCUUAACGGAAGAAUGGCGGU